GGCCAAGUGAAAUGGCGGGGCCACGAGCCAUGCGGGGAACCGCCUCCGUCAAGUAGCAGGAUGAGGGGCUCCAGAAGAGAAAAACUGAAAAUCAGGCUCCGGCUGUAGACAGACGUUACUGGAGACUUUCACAGUGGGGCGAAGAACUGACAGAAAGAUGCUGGGAAGGAAGACGCUAGAAAAACUCCAGAAAGUUCGCGUGAUGAAAACUUACCUCGCGCCACAACCAUGUGGUUUAAUCAAUUUAUAUGCAUAAGAAAUUUGGAAACAAUUGGUUGUGUAGUUCUGGUUCAAGAUCAUCAAUGAAGUUGGCUGAGGCUACAGUCAUCUGAAGGCUUGAUGAGACUGGAAGAUGCUCUUUAAAAGUGGCUCACUCACCUGGCUGGUUAAUUGGCACUAGCUCUUGAUAGGAGGCCUCAGCUCCUCUCCAUAUGGGCUGCUCGAGAAUUCUCAUGGCAUUGUUUGUUUCCCCCUAAAGGAAUCAAGAGAACAAGCCAGCCUCAGUGGUACAGGUGGUAGCAUACUGAUCUGCAGAUCAGUACCGGAAGCCAGGUGGCAGACUGCAGUUUCAGAUCCAAAGUGGACAUGAAGCUCACUAGGCAUGUUUGUGCUGCAAUUCUGACUAAUUGAAAGGCUGAGGACCACAGCAAGGCAAGAAAGACCCUGUAGUGGGUACCCCCUCUGUCUCAUGAAAUAAAUUAAAACGUAAAAUAA